GGGGACGUAGCUCAGCUGGCUAGAGCACCUGCUUUGCAAGCAGGGGGUCGUGGGUUCGAGUCCCACCGUCUCCA
rnacentral:tRNA from 1 species